rnacentral:rRNA from 1 species
ACACAUGCAGUCGAACGGUGAAGCAGAGCUUGCUCUGUGGAUCAGUGGCGAACGGGUGAGUAACACGUGAGCAACCUGCCCCUGACUCUGGGAUAAGCGCUGGAAACGGCGUCUAAUACUGGAUAUGAGCUGCGACCGCAUGGUCAGCAGUUGGAAAGAUUUUUCGGUCUGGGAUGGGCUCACGGCCUAUCAGCUUGUUGGUGAGGUAAUGGCUCACCAAGGCGUCGACGGGUAGCCGGCCUGAGAGGGUGACCGGCCACACUGGGACUGAGACACGGCCCAGACUCCUACGGGAGGCAGCAGUGGGGAAUAUUGCACAAUGGGCGCAAGCCUGAUGCAGCAACGCCGCGUGAGGGACGACGGCCUUCGGGUUGUAAACCUCUUUUAGCAGGGAAGAAGCGAAAGUGACGGUACCUGCAGAAAAAGCGCCGGCUAACUACGUGCCAGCAGCCGCGGUAAUACGUAGGGCGCAAGCGUUAUCCGGAAUUAUUGGGCGUAAAGAGCUCGUAGGCGGUUUGUCGCGUCUGCUGUGAAAUCCCGAGGCUCAACCUCGGGUCUGCAGUGGGUACGGGCAGACUAGAGUGCGGUAGGGGAGAUUGGAAUUCCUGGUGUAGCGGUGGAAUGCGCAGAUAUCAGGAGGAACACCGAUGGCGAAGGCAGAUCUCUGGGCCGUUACUGACGCUGAGGAGCGAAAGGGUGGGGAGCAAACAGGCUUAGAUACCCUGGUAGUCCACCCCGUAAACGUUGGGAACUAGUUGUGGGGUCCAUUCCACGGAUUCCGUGACGCA